rnacentral:rRNA from 1 species
GCCCAGCCAUAACAAAACAAUAAAAUAACCAAUUGUCCGCCAAAUAACUACGAGUAGUAACUUAAAAUUUAAAAGACUUGACGGUACCCCACAACAACCUAGAGGAGCCUGUCUAAUAAAUGAUACUCCACGAUUAACCCUACCCACCAUGGCCCAACAGUCUAUAUACCGCCGUCGCCAGCCCACCUCAUGAGAGAACAAAAGUGAGCCAAAUAGCCCACACUAACACGACAGGUCAAGGUGUAACUAAUGGGUGGGACUAAGAUGGGCUACAUUUUCUUAACUAGAACAUACGGAUCAACUAUGAAAAAGAAACUAAAGGCGGAUUUAGCAGUAUAUUAAGAACAAAAUACUUAAUUGAAACUAACGCAAUGGGGUGCGCACACACCGCCCGUCAUCCCUGCAAUCAAACAAACUUAUCUAUAAUAACACAUUAACAUAAAUCAGGGCAAGUCGUAACAUGGUAAGUGUACUGGAAAGUGUACUUAGAAA